rnacentral:hammerhead_ribozyme from 1 species
AUCCAUCAGACGAGUCCCAAAUAGGACGAAACGCGCAUCUUGGAU